CUCUCCCCAUUAAUAACUUGGAGGUGAGUUUUAUAGGGGAUUAAGGGUUAAAUGUUUUGUUUUAAGUGGAUUGUACAGUUUUAUAUGAAAAAAACCUAGGAUGCUUCUAGGAAAUUAAUUGCUUGAGCUGUCUCAGCUUCCCAUUCAGCUUAUAAUAUUGUAAUUACAGUUUUUGACUAAUUUUUCAGGUUGAUAAUGUCAUAGUUUAAAACAAAAGUUAACAAAUUGAAAACUUGAUUUCUUGUAGUUGUUAUAAAAAGGCCUUUUUUUAUUGAAAGCUCACAAACUUAAGUAAUCCUACUGUCUUUACCACAAUUAUAUAACAUGUAGGGAAUUUUCUGUGGAUUCAGUUGUCUUGUUAUGUUUCUCAUCAUGUAUGUUAAAUAUUGAAAUAUAUGAGUGGUGUUGAACAGUGCAUGCUAUC
rnacentral:lncRNA from 1 species